CAGCCAUCAUUUAAAGAAAGCGUAAUAGCUCACUAGUCGAGUCGGCCUGCGCGGAAGAUGUAACGGGGCUCAAACCAGGCACCGAAGCCGCGGAUUCACGCUAAGCGUGAGUGGUAGGGGAGCGUUCUGUAAGUCUGCGAAGGUGUGUCGAGAGGCAUGCUGGAGAUAUCAGAAGUGCGAAUGCUGACGUAAGUAACGAUAAAGGGGGUGAAAAGCCUCCUCGCCGGAAGACCAAGGGUUCCUGUCCAACGUUAAUCGGGGCAGGGUGAGUCGACCCCUAAGGUGAGGCCGAAAGGCGUAAUCGAUGGGAAGCAGGUUAAUAUUCCUGCACGACUUGUAAUUGCGAUGGGGGGACGGAGAAGGCUAGGUGGGCCAGGCGACGGUUGUCCUGGUGAAAGUGCGUAGGUGGUGUUUGUAGGCAAAUCCGCAGACACAACGCUGAGACACGAGACGAACGCACCACGGUGCGGAAGCCAUUGAUGCCCUGCUUCCAGGAAAAGCCUCUAAGCUUCAGAUUACAAGUCAUCGUACCCCAAACCGACACAGGUGGUCGGGUAGAGAAUACCAAGGCGCUUGAGAGAACU
rnacentral:rRNA from 1 species